GCAGCAGCGGCACCAGCCGCCGCCAGGCCAGCAGGAAACGGGCAGCAAGCGCUGCCGCUACCUCCACCUCCGCCGCCGCGCAGGGUCAGGGGGCAGAGGGCGAGCGCCCACCCCCUGGCCAAUCGCGAGCCGCCCAGCCCCGAGUGGGGCGGGGCGAGGUGCGUCGCCAUGGUUGCAGCACGCUAAGCCUCCUGGGGUCCUUUCCCCGGUUGUCACGGUGAGGUUGGCGGCGGAGGCGGCGGCGGCGGGGGGCCGCGGGGGCGAGAUCCUGAUCCGGCUUCUUGGGCCAAAGGAAAGGCGGCCCGAGGGCGAGCGCGAAGGCACGACGGUUGCCGGCUCGCCUCUUCUCUCGGCGCCCUUUCGGUUAGUGGUUUUAAAAAGGCAGAAACAGCCACCCUCGUUUGUUUCUCCGUCGCGUUUGCAAAGCCGAAUGUAACCCAAGGGCCGGAGCUCAGCCUCGCACGAAGUUGCCUGGAUCUGUCAGGUCGAGCGGGGAGCCCACCCGGUCAAUGACCAGGAGCGGUUUGGCGCGGAGGAGCCACGCCCAGCAACAACAAAAAAUCGUUUGUCCGGGAGUUCUGUGGGACAUUUACUCCAGGGUAAAGAGGGUUCAGAACAGCAGCCUGAAAAAUAAGCUGAAGGGAACGGAGUGGGACUUCAAGACAAACAUGUUUAAAAAUCUUUGCCUUCGUGGCAUGGAUUGGAGAAGCGUGGCUGGCUCGGGAAAGGGCCGAAGGUGAUGUUCAAACUGACAGAGCUGAUUUCAAAUGGCUUGCGCACACCUAACUCUGCACAACUACUGUAUGAGAAUAUUUUAACCGUCCUCCUGUAUAACAACAGUGUAAAUACUAAGGGAGGGUUGCAUAACAAGCAAAGUAAUCCUGUAACACAGAAAUGUUAUUGUUGCUUUUUUAUUGAUUUGGAUCUGGAAGGUCUGGGGGUUUUGUGUUUUUUUAGCAUUCUGAUUUGGAAUGUACCAGGGUAGUAUUUUUCAGACUUGGAACAGAAUAUUCCUACCAAGAGGGGUAGUGAAAGGAACCAUUUAUAAACUCCUUCAUGCUAUUGGAAUGUGAUGCUAUGUCAAAUGUGUGAGAAAAAAAUGCACUGGCCCAAAUCCUCACAUUUAUUAAUGCUGGUAUAGUACAAAUUGCAUAACUUUUAGAAGCAAGUUGCCCCAAUGUAGACAUUAUGAGUUACAUACUGAGUUGUUCAACUACCUAUUAAACUGAUUUUUUUAACAAGUUGCUUCCAAAGGUAUGCCAUUUCCAUAGCUAAACAAGAAGAUUGUUUGAAUACUCGCGAACAGUGCCCAGAAAGGGUCACACAAAGACAAGCAUGUACACUGUCAAGGUUACCCAGGUCAGAGAGGCCUGCAUCAACCACUUAGCCACACUACCCUGAUUGUCCUGGUGGGAGUAAAAUCUAUCAAAUGUGCUGAUUAGUGGAGAAAAUCUUCCUGCCCUGUACCUUCCCAACACAUUAGUUCACCCUGACUAAGCAGUGCUUCCAGGGAGUUACCAAAAAUCCACAAGGUUAAGUGCUUGGAUUCUUACACUAACCCAGGAACGCCAACAAUACCCACAAAACACAGACUCCCCAGUCCAUGGUCAAGACAAGCCCGGUUUUAGUACCACCAACCCUCUUAAUCCAAAAGAACCAAACAGCUGGGGGGGAAUUAUAUUUUAUUAAAGGUGGUGAAAAAGUUAAAAAGUGCAAAACUUCAAAACAGUAUCAAUAUUUACAGAAGAGUCAGAAGAUCUGUGGGGCAAAAUAAGUAAUUAAAGCAUUGAGACAAGAACAAUUCCAGACCAAUCACACAUGAAAAUAGAAAGGCUAGUUAACCUCUCCUAAUACUUAUAUCCUGGCAUGGUUUCAGAGCAUAUAUGUAAUGCAGACCAUAUAACAAAACAACAGAUGAGCAUAGCAUUCUCUUUAAAUCCCAUCCCUAUCGGCCAGCUGAAUUUGUUGGGUGGCAAGCCAGAUUGGGAAGUGUUCUGGACAAAAUGAAAAGCUCCCUGUGGCAUGGUUGACAGCUGCACAUUUGAAAAAUGACUGAGAAAAGAAGUGAAUUGGCACUGUUAAUUUCAUUUGUGGUAGUUAAUGGAAAUUCAACAAAUGAGUGUUGAAUGAAAUGCAUUGAUCUUUAUUUAUUUGAUUCAGUUGUUUAAUUUUUCAUGAGUUUCUAUUGGAAUGAAAAAGUGAUUUGGAACCAUAACAUCAGUACAGAUCACAAAGAGAUUACAUACAGGAAGUGGAAAAAGAAGGCACAGGGAAAUCAACAGAUAUAAGCCGUACAUCAUGUCAUAUCAUAGGCCAUGCUGAAUUAGGAGCACUGCUGGGUUCCUGCUGUUUACUGAAAUUCCACCAAGCACUGACUGGCCCCAGCUAUUUUGCUGUCUGAAGAAGAGCGAGAGAGAGAGAGAACGAGAGAGAGCCCAACUGUGUCACAAUAACUUAGAGCACCUCGUACCUGAGCAAUUCAUUUAGAUAUCUGAGGCAGAGAAUCCUACACAAAUCACUCCCUACGUGCAAGAGUAAAAACACAAUACAGUAACAAUAAACUGAAUGUCCUACUAUUUCCUGCCCUUUUU
ensembl:lncRNA